rnacentral:lncRNA from 1 species
GUUUUGUGGAUGUCUCUGAUGGUCUACAGAAGGGGGUUUCUGGAUGAAAUCCUGGAUGCAGAGGUGGAAGGGAGCUGAGCUGGAGGCAGGAAGAACUUCUGAACGUCCCUGAAUGGCACCUGCUACCACUGUGACUGCCACUACCAUCAUCACCCUCACCAUCACUGCCAUCAUCAUUAUCAUCAUCGUGACCAGCAUCAUUAGCAUAACCGUGACUGGCAGCAUCAUGACCACCAACAUCACCAUCAUCACCACUGACAUCAUCGUCACCGUCAUCAUGACCACCACCGCCAACCACCACCACUAUCAUCACCAUCACUACUACCACCACUACCACAUCAAUAUCACAUUAGGAUCAAGAAAAAUGGAACCAGAGAACAUGUAUGUCAAGACCCCUGAAUAAAAGCACAGCAGCAUACAGAACCCAGGCUAAAGGGCAUAAUAAAAGGAGAACACGGUGGCUAGAAAGGUAAGUCAGCAGUUAAAAACUCGCUGCUCUUGCAAAG